UACAGAGGUCCCAAGCGUUGUUCGGAUUCACUGGGCGUAAAGCGCACGUAGGCGGCUUGGCAAGUCGGAUGUGAAAUCCCUCGGCUCAACCAAGGAAGUGCAUCCGAAACUGCUGAGCUUGAGUACGAAAGAGGAUCGCGGAAUUCCCGGUGUAGAGGUGAAAUUCGUAGAUAUCGGGAGGAACACCAGUGGCGAAGGCGGCGAUCUGGGUCGAUACUGACGCUGAGGUGCGAAAGCGUGGGGAGCAAACAGG
rnacentral:rRNA from 1 species